AUACGGAGGAUCCGAGCGUUAUCCGGAUUUAUUGGGUUUAAAGGGUGCGCAGGCGGCCAUUUAAGUCAGCGGUUAAAUCGUGGGGCUCAACCCCAUUCUGCCGUUGAUACUGGGUGGCUUGAUCGCGGUCGAGGUUGGCGGAAUUCGUGGUGUAGCGGUGAAAUGCUUAGAUAUCACGAAGAACUCCGAUCGCGAAGGCAGCUCACCGGGCCGGAACUGACACUGAUGCUCGAAAGUGCGGGUAUCAAACAGGAUUAGAUACCCUGGUAGUCCGCACAGUAAACGAUGAAUACUCGCUGUUUGCGAUACACUGUAAGCGGCCAAGCGAAAGCGUUAAGUAUUCCACCUGGGGAGUACGCUGGCAACGGUGAAACUCAAAGGAAUUGGCGGGG
rnacentral:rRNA from 1 species